AGUCGAACGAAGUAGCAAUACUUAGUGGCAGACGGGUGAGUAACAUGUGGGUAUCUUCCCUUUGGUGAGGAAUAACACGAGGAAACUUGUGCUAAUACCUCAUAAGUCUUUACGGAGAAAGCUUUAUGCGCCAUUGGAUGAGCCCGCACUUGAUUAGUUUGUUGGUGGGGUAAUGGCCUACCAAGACUUUGAUCAAUAGCUGAUUUGAGAGGAUGAUCAGCCACAUUGGGACUGAGACACGGCCCAAACUCCUACGGGAGGCAGCAGUAGGGAAUCUUGCACAAUGGAGGAAACUCUGAUGCAGCGAUGCCGCGUGAGUGAAGAAGGCCUUUGGGUUGUAAAGCUCUUUCGUCGGGGAAGAAAAUGACUGUACCCGAAUAAGAAGGUCCGGCUAACUUCGUGCCAGCAGCCGCGGUAAUACGAAGGGACCUAGCGUAGUUCGGAAUUACUGGGCUUAAAGAGUUCGUAGGUGGUUAAAAAAGUUGGUGGUGAAAGCCCAGAGCUUAACUCUGGAACUGCCAUCAAAACUUUUUAGCUAGAGUAUGAUAGAGGAAAGCAGAAUUUCUAGUGUAGAGGUGAAAUUCGUAGAUAUUAGAAAGAAUACCAAUUGCGAAGGCAGCUUUCUGGAUCAUUACUGACACUGAGGAACGAAAGCAUGGGUAGCGAAGAGGAUUAGAUACCCUCGUAGUCCAUGCCGUAAACGAUGUGUGUUAGAUGUUGGGAAAUUUAUUUUCAGUAUCGCAGCGAAAGCGAUAAACACACCGCCUGGGGAGUACGACCGCAAGGUUAAAACUCAAAUGAAUUGACGGGGACCCGCACAAGUAGUGGAGCAUGUGGUUUAAUUCGAAGAUACGCGCAGAACCUUACCAACACUUGACAUGUUCGUCGCGACUCUAAGAG
rnacentral:rRNA from 1 species